AGGAGGCCUGUGUAUCACUGCGUGACCACCAGGAUGAAAUUCUGGAGCCUGGGGAACCACCACAACCCUUCGAACGCCGUUAUCCUCAAUAACCUGUGGGGCAUAUCCAGGAGGCACAUAAAUAGUAGGCACUGAACCAUUUGGGGACAUCAUUGGAACCUGAGCAGGACCUGUAAUGCACUGAAAUUGUCCAUCUUCUCUUCUUAUUGUAAAUGCUUCCCCUGGAUUAACUUGCACAAGAAUAACCUGUUGUGCUCCAUCCCCGCUAACAAUAGGGGAAGUUAGAAGAGGGAUUUCGCUACUUAUAAUCGAACUGGUAUCCAGUAAUGGUGGGUGCUCUGCCAUCAUCGACGGUACACAAACUCAC
rnacentral:lncRNA from 1 species